rnacentral:rRNA from 1 species
AUUGAACGCUGGCGGCAGGCCUAACACAUGCAAGUCGAGCGGAUGAAGGUAGCUUGCUACCUGAUUCAGCGGCGGACGGGUGAGUAAUGCCUAGGAAUCUGCCUGGUAGUGGGGGACAACGUUUCGAAAGGAACGCUAAUACCGCAUACGUCCUACGGGAGAAAGUGGGGGAUCUUCGGACCUCACGCUAUCAGAUGAGCCUAGGUACGAUUAGCUAGUUGGUGAGGUAAAGGCUCACCAAGGCGACGAUCGUUAACUGGUCUGAGAGGAUGAUCAGUCAGGCUGGAACGGAGACACGGUCCAGACUCCUACGGGAGGCAGCAGUGGGGAAUAUUGGACAAUGGGCGAAAGCCUGAUCCAGCCAUGCCGCGUGUGUGAAGAAGGUCUUCGGAUUGUAAAGCACUUUAAGUUGGGAGGAAGGGCAGUAAGUUAAUACCUUGCUGUUUUGACGUUACCGACAGAAUAAGCACCGGCUAACUUCGUGCCAGCAGCCGCCGUAACAC